AUUCUACAUUUUACAUUAUAAAAUUCGUAAUGUUUUCGAAACGGACGCACGUCACGCACGGUUCUCCGUACUCUUCAUUGAAUUAUAUAAUAUUAUCGUCUUUUUAUUCCGGUCCGGUAUUUUAUAUUUGUUUGAUAUGGUUAUCGUCUAUUGUGAUCAUCGUCUUUUUAUUCUGGUUCGGUACUUUAUAUUUAUUUAAUGUAGUUAUCGUCUGUUGUGAUUUAUUAUUGUUACUGCGAUAUAGGUACCAAAACUAUUGCCAACAAGUACAUACAAUUGUAUCAUGUUAUUUAUGUCCAAAUAUACAAGUACGCAUCUCAACAGUGUUCAUAUUUUUAAUUCACCUAUUAUACUUUUAAAGUUAAUUCAAUCGAAUAUAUUCUUUUAUUAACCGAUAAAUCAACUCUACUAUGUGAAGUGCAACGGUUUAAAACGUAUAGGCUGCAAUAAACUUAAAUUAAUCGCGAUCGUCAAUUUUUCCAAUAUCUGUCAAAGACGUGAGAAUGAUUUUCGUGGAAUUUUUGCACAAUGCCGCGGUUGGUACCUACUCUCUGAAGUGAGAUAUACGACGUUGUCCGCGGUCGUGGCUGGCGCCACAUUCCAAUGGUCGUGUGUGCGUUUAAAAUAUUAUCGCCGCACCAUUGUAAAUAAACGCGUAAAAUAAUCUUAUUCUGAUAGUAGCUAAUGUUUAUUUAUUUUUGUUACCGUUCGUAGAGUAUCCAUAUACCUAUUAUCAAAACUGCGCAUGCGCGGCUUUGUGUUAAUCGAUAAGCACCGGGUCAAACUAUAAAAAUUUUAAUAAUUCAAUAAAUAAUAAUAUACUUAUAUUGGAUUUUGAAGGAUACCAUUUAUUUAAUUAUUUGUUUUCAUAUUGCGAAGUCGUUUAUCUCGAUAACACUUAAAACUCUUUACCAUAUUAUGUAGACCUGUUUCCCGUCUACCGGGUAGCCACCCGUCCCAUUGCAUAACAAUUUAUGUUUACAUUUUUUCCCGCUCAACGAUAACUAUAUUAUUUACGUUCAGACGUCACAACUGAGCUGUUGAUCGACGUCAUAAUAUUGUAUUAUUUGCUUGUAUAAGCGUUCUCGUCGCUGCAUAAAAGUAUAGAACAGUAUUAAAUACCAGUACCAUAAAAACAUGUUAGGCACAUUGAGUGUUUUAUUUGUACUAGCAAUUAUCGAUUGUGAAGACGAACGAAUUUAUAUUUACAUAUUGUAAUUAUAAUUUAAUAUCUAGCGAAUCUUCUAUUAUUAUAGUAUAAUCAAUAGUACUAUUAAUAGCAUUGGUACAGCUGUAAUAAAAUUAAUUAUUUGAUACUUUUCACAAAUUUUGAUACUUCUUGUUAUUGUUGUGAAUUUAUGUCAACAAAAGGUACGUUAAGUUAAGUAAUCAAAAAUAUGUUAGUGUUAUUUAUAUGGGUACCUAUAACCAC